UGCAGAUCCAGAAUGUCUUCGUGUUCCC
rnacentral:piRNA from 1 species